AGCCGCGCCGUCCAAUCCCCGUGCCGCCCCUGCACGGCGCGGGCCCCUGCAGCCCAGCGCUGCCCCCGAGCUGCUGCGGCGCCUGCUGAGCUCUGGGGAUCGCGAGCCCCUCUGCUCGUGCGUGUCUGUGAACUCAUGCAUACGUGAAGCUCGGUGUCCUGUAUACGCACAAAUGCUGUGCUGUGGAUCCGGUCACUAUGUUCCUGAGUGCUGCCCUGGCUCGGAAUUCUUAACUACAGCAACCUUGUCAAACCUUCAUUUCUCGUUAAGCUAUAUGGAAAACCAUAGCGCUUUGCAGAACAAGCAGGAUUUCAUAAUGGAGUGACAACAGCUGUGACAUGACAGUUUGGCGUUGUAACAAACACAUCUGCUCGUCUCACAUGGUUUGUCUCUCUUGGUUCUCCUAAAAUAGCUUUUUGCAAAACUCUGCUCUCUGCUGCUCCAUCAGCAGUGCUGCCCACCCUUCUCCAGGUCACCUGGGACCCGCACUCGGUGCAUGGUCAUUGUGACAGGCAGGAACAUGGGGAGGCUCACGUGGCACCAGCGUUGCGCUUCUGCCUUUUCGAGCUGAUGGAUUAAGCAGCAAUGAUCUAGAUGACAGCAAUUUAGCUGCCAUUUGAUCACCUGAAAUAGACUCAGCCUGACCCUGAAUCUCAAAGAAAUGAUGCUGAGAUGCGUUGCUCCUGGGUAACCACCAGGAAGUGCAUCAUUGGAAAACUGAGGAGGUGAUAAACUUCUGGAAAAUGUUGCCAAUGGGAACAUUCAGCACGUGCCACACCGGGAGGGCUGAGACGUGCAGCAAGGAGCUCCAUAGCAGGCUGCUAAGUAUGGGGCUGUGCCCUCCAGCAACCACACACCCCAAAUUAGCAUGAUGUCUGAUGGCACAUGGUGAAUAUCCCAUCUUAGGGAAUGGAGCUCAGUGUACCACUCCCGACCCACAAGCCCAUCUCAAACCCAUAAAUAUGAGCUGCUCUUUGGGCUAAUGAGCACGCAACGUACUGGGAUUGAUGUGGUGGAAGAGAUUGUGGACCCACGAGAGUCCUCAGGAAAUAUUAAAGCUCUAUAAGAGCACUGCUAACAAUGCACCAGCUUUGCUUUAAUGUUUGUGUGCAGUUUAUUUUCUGUGUUUAUGAAAAUUUUCUUUGUCUCUCUACAAUUCCUGUUUGGCUCCAUCACGUGCAGGCAGAGCAUUAGGGGGUAUAUGAAAAGAGCAUAAAAAAUGGAUGUUUUCUCUUUUCAGAAGUCAGCUAUACCAGUAUUAGCUUUCAUUUGGAUUCAGGGCGAACCUGAGAAUCAAAGGAAAAACCCCUUGGUCAUUUCAGAUUUAUCUGCAGACAAAGAGCUGGGAUUUCCCGGCUGUCUGGGGUUGGUUUUUCUCCAGGCUGUUGUCUCUUUCUGUGUUUUAUUUCCUUUCCUUUUGAUUUGGACUUCUUCCAUUAUGAUACAUAUAAUCAGUACUUUUGCACACAAAUACAGCUGAAAAACCUUUUCCAAGCAAAGGCCAGAAACAUUUUGAUUUGAAAAUACCCAAUCCAGAAUGCAUUGAUACAGCACAAACAUUUCCCCAAUCCCCCCCUUUUUUUUUCUUCUUCAGGAUGCUAUUUCUGGUUUCUGGCAGCGCAUCAGUCCUGAUGGAACGAUGACAAUAGGUUCCUUGGGUGGGAUGGAGCUGCUCAGGAGCUGAUGCAGGUUCACACCCCUUGGGCUGGGCCAGACUGGAG